GGUAUGACUCUCGGCAAUGGAUAUCAUGGCUCUCGCAUCGAUGAAGAAUGUAGCAAAAUGCGAUACCUAGUGUGAAUUGCAGAUCCCAUGAACCAUCAAGUCUUUGAAUGCAAGUUGCGCCUGAGGCUGCCAGGCCGAGGGCAUGCCUACCUGGGUGUCAUGC
rnacentral:rRNA from 1 species